rnacentral:rRNA from 1 species
AACGAACGCUGGCGGCAUGCCUAACACAUGCAAGUCGAACGAUCCCUUCGGGGAUAGUGGCGCACGGGUGCGUAACGCGUGGGAACCUGCCCUUAGGUUCGGAAUAACUCAGAGAAAUUUGAGCUAAUACCGGAUAAUGUCUUCGGACCAAAGAUUUAUCGCCUUUGGAUGGGCCCGCGUUGGAUUAGCUAGUUGGUGGGGUAAAGGCCUACCAAGGCGACGAUCCAUAGCUGGUCUGAGAGGAUGAUCAGCCACACUGGGACUGAGACACGGCCCAGACUCCUACGGGAGGCAGCAGUGGGGAAUAUUGGACAAUGGGCGAAAGCCUGAUCCAGCAAUGCCGCGUGAGUGAUGAAGGCCUUAGGGUUGUAAAGCUCUUUUACCCGGGAUGAUAAUGGCAGUACCGGGAGAAUAAGCCCCGGCUAACUCCGUG